UUAGGAGGAACACCAGUGGCGAAAGGCGACUUACUGGCCAAUAACUGACGCUGAGGCGCGAAAGCGUGGGGAGCAAACAGGAUUAGAUACCCUGGUAGUCCACGCCGUAAACGAUGAGUACUAGGUGUUGGUUGUUUCGAAACAAUCGGUGCCGCAGUAAAACACAAUAAGUACUCCGCCUGGGGAGUACGGUCGCAAGACUGAAACUCAAAGGAAUUGACGGGGGCCCGCACAAGCGGUGGAGCAUGUGGUUUAAUUCGACGCAACGCGAAGAACCUUACCAAGACUUGACAUCCUCUUGACGGGAUAUGUAAUGUAUCCGUUUCUUCGGAACAAGAGAGACAGGUGGUGCAUGGUUGUUGUCAGCUCGUGUCGUGAGAUGUUGGGUUAAGUCCCGCAACGAGCGCAACCCUUGUUGUUAGUUGCCAUCAUUAAGUUGGGCACUCUAACAAGACUGCCGGUGACAAACCGGAGGAAGGUGGGGAUGACGUCAAAUCAUCAUGCCCCUUAUGUCUUGGGCUACACACGUGCUACAAUGGUCGGUACAGAGGGCAGCGAGAGAGUGAUCUUGAGCGAAUCUCAAAAAGCCGAUCCCAGUUCGGAUUGUAGGCUGCAACUCGCCUACAUGAAGUCGGAAUCGCUAGUAAUCGCAGGUCAGCAUAGUACGGUGAAUACGUUCCCGGGCCUUGUACACACCGCCCGUCACACCACGAAAGUUGGUAACACCCGAAGUCGGUGAUCUUUCCUGCAAAGGAGGAAGCCGCCCACGGUGGGAUCGAUAUUUUUUUUUGAAGUCGUAACAAGGUAGCCGUAAUA
rnacentral:rRNA from 1 species